CUCCUGCUGAGGAAGAACUUGGGGAGGUGGAACAGAUGGCCUGUUGUCUGUUUCUACUUUGGGCAUGACAGAUGAGCAAUGCAUCCAAUUAUAUCACCGGAAGAGGAGAGCCAGCAAAGACAUUUGUGAUCUACGGGGCUGGCUGUGGAGCCACAGAGCAGUACCAGGUGCAUUCAUCCAGUACCUGCUCAGGAGUAGCCAUGCCCACCAGGUGGAGAAUGGGGGACUCAGGUGCUGACAGAAGAGGGCUCUCCAGAUCCUGCGUUUCAUUCUUCCAAAUGGGGAAAAUGUGGUCCUGCCAGUGGGAGCUCCUCCAGGAGAUGAAGACAAUUUAUGUAAAGAAGUAAAUGCCCACAAAGAGGAAGGACUAUGCAUCUGUGUAUGGGCCUCCCUGAGCCUUCCAUGUGCCCACGCCAGCCCAGUGCUUUCCUCCAGCAGAGGAGCACCCUCCCUGAUGGGAUGCAUUCCCUUAUAAUGUCCAGGAGCCGUGGGAGGAGAGAUCCAUCGUUCUUAAUUUCAACUCCCAAUGAAAGCAGAUGUCAGUGAUUGGUGUGCCAGGUUUGUCGCAAAGGUUGGAAGGGAGGUCACGAAGGAUGACAUAAAACAACCAGCUGAAUCCCAGAAGGAUCAACUCUAGGCAUUAGGAAGGACUAGGAGAAGGGAAGAGAUGUCCAUUCGCACCUGUUCUUCAUCGGCAGUAACACCACCUUCCUCGUCUGGAGACAGAGGAAAAUGAAGAGAAAUAACACUUCUUAAGCACCUCCUGUGUGCCGGAUGUUUUACAUAAGCUUCCCACGUUAAUUAAAAAAGGAGAAA
rnacentral:lncRNA from 1 species